rnacentral:lncRNA from 1 species
UGGGGAGGAGGGCAGUGACACACUCCUUCCCCCACCUCCCAGCCCCACCUCCCCCGGACACCUGCACAGAGCUGAGGGCGCGUGAAGAGGCUCCCGGCUGCUAGUGCUUCUAGAACCCCAGGCUUCUGUGCUGUUCCCAGACCCCUGGGUCAGCCUGCCACGGGGGGACGGCCCUGGGAGGUGGGUGGGCAGGCCGUUGAAGGAGAGGAAACAGAGGCAGAGUUGGGACACCCUGCGGUUAGGCUGGGCCCCGCCUGCCACUGCCCUCCCCAGGCCUGCUAGAAGCAUGGGCCGUGGGGACUGCAGGAACUGAGGACAAGCCUCCAUUCGGCUCUGAGCCCAAGCCAUGUGUUCAGACUUUUGAGUCUGGGACUGCAGCCUCAGCCACCAACAGCAGCAGUGGUUCCUGCCCUGGACCUUGGAGGCCUGAGAAUCCAGACUUUUUCUCCUCCAUGGAGGAUGAGCAGGCAAGUGUCUAAUUUUGAGAUGGGCAGGAGAGGAUGACAAGAGUGGCAGCAAGCACCAUUUGUUUAGCAUCUGCAUUUUGCCAGGCAUUUUAUGCAUGUUAAAUGCAUAAAAAC